UAGAGUGACCUAACGUGUUGCCUCCCUUUCGUAGAAAGCCUAGAUCCGGAACUGUAGAUGAACUCAAUGAUAGGUUCAGAAGUUGGGCCUUAUAUAUGGGUUUUUAUAAGGCUUAGUGUUUGGCCUGUUUACUUUAGUAAUGUCUUUUAUUUAAACUCUUCUUUAGUCAUUGAAAAACACUUAUCGAUUAUAAUCUUAAGAAUGUUUAUCUUCUUCAUCUUCUUUCUCCUUCCUUUCCUUUUCUGAAAUUCUUCUGCAUCUCAACCUAUUUCUUCUAUUAUCUCAUCUCUUUCUGUUACAUAUCUUGAUAAGCCAUUUUGGUACUUAUCAAUUGGUGCUUUCAUUGAGAGUUGAACUCAAGACUACUCAAGCUGCUCAAACCAAUCAAGCCGCCACAAUCUCUGAUCUAGAAGCAACACUCGAUCGAUUUGUUGAAAAGGUGGAGGAAAAGCUAGAUUCCAUCGUCCAAAGGCUUGAAGCUCAACAAGAGGAGUAUCGAAAAGGGAUUCGUGAAAUUUUUGCUACGCUUUUUCCGGUGAAUGCA